rnacentral:rRNA from 1 species
GAUGAACGCUGGCGGCGUGCCUAAUACAUGCAAGUCGAGCGAACAGACGUGGUGCUUGCUCCUCUUACGUUAUCGGCGGAUGGCUGAGUAAUACGUGGAUAACCUAUCUUUAAGACUGGGAUAACUUCUGGAAACCGGAGCUAAUAUCUGAUAAUAUAUUGAACCGCAUGGUUCAAUAUUUAAUGACGGUUUUUCUUUCACUUAUAGAUGGUUCCGCGCCGCAUUAGCUAGUUGGUAAGGUAACGGCUUACCAAGGCAACGAUGCGUAGUCGACCUGAGAGGGUGAUCGGCCACACUGGAACUGAGACAGGGACCAGACUCCGACGGGAGGCAGCAGUAGGAAAUCUUCCGAAAUGGGCAAAAGCUUGACGGAGAAACGCCGCGUGAGUGAUGAAGGUCUUCGGAUCGUAAAACUAUGUUAUUAGGGAAGAACAAAUGGGUAAGUAACUAUACACGUCUUGACGGUACCUAAACAAAAAGCAACGGCUAACUACGUG